ACGUAGGUGGCGAGCGUUGUCCGGAAUUACUGGGUGUAAAGGGAGCGCAGGCGGGAAGACAAGUCAGUUGUGAAAACUAUGGGCUUAACCCCUAGAGUGCAGUUGAAACUGUUUUUCUUGAGUGUGGUAGAGGUAGGCGGAAUUCCGGGUGUAGCGGUGAAAUGCGUAGAUAUUAGGAGGAACACCGAUGGCGAAGGCAGCCUACGGGGCUUUAACUGACGCUGAGGCUCGAAAGUGUGGGGAUCAAACAG
rnacentral:rRNA from 1 species